rnacentral:lncRNA from 1 species
UUGAAAUUUGGGGCACAAUAAAAGCUGGGAUUCUGUCACCACUUACAUCCUACACAACUUACUUUUUUUACAAGUUGGAAGAUAAUUUUCUAUUGAACUUUUUGGUGUUGAAUCUGAAAAUAUGUAGAUUUGUUUUUUUACAUCUAAAUCCUGUAUAUAUACCAUGGUAUCUAUACAUCUCAGCUUGUACUCCGCCCACCUCUCAUCUCUGUUGCACAGGGGAAGAGUUUGAAUGGACUGAAGAAGAUGAUAUUCUCGAAGAUCUUGAUUGGGAUCAUCAUCCUUGUAACAAGCAGCUUGAUAACCCAGUUCCUAGAUUAAGAGAUGAUGGCUGGUUUCAGUUAGAAUUGGGCAAGUUUUCACUGAAAAUGAAGACAAUUGCAUAGUGUUGAGAAUGCAAGAUGUGACGGUUGGUUAUACAAAACGAGGCCUUAUUGUUGAAGGAAUUGAGAUAAGGCGAAAAAUUGCUUAACCAUUUUAUAGCUGUACUUCAUUUCAUUUGGUUAAGUAUUUAAGUUUGCCUUUUGAGCUCUGUUUUCUUGAAAAAGUUCAUUUUAUGCUGCAAAACUAAUAUGGCUGGAAUGAAUAGUAUAGGUUUUGAAUUUUAUGAUACAUGAGCCUAUUUUCCCGAUGGGAUAUGUUUAAUUGUCGCUUGGAUAUGUAAUUGUUAUGUUUAAACCAAAGAUAAUCCAUUGCCUUUUUUCUGUUAAGUUCUUUGUCUUAAACGGGAAAUAAGGUGGAAUAAAAUGAAAAUCUACAUAGGCAAGGGAAUUGAGUUGAGGAGAAGAGUGUGGGAAGCAUUGCAUCACUCAUCCAUUGGAGGUCAUGCAGGACAACAGGCCACUUAUUAUGAAUCAAGAUGCUAUUUUACUGACCUAACAUGAAACAGGAUAUCUUUAAAUGGGUAAGGGAGUGUGACAUAUGUCAGAAAGUCAAAUCUGAGAAUGUGCAUUACCCAGGGCUUUUACAACCUCUCCCUAUACCUGAAACACCUUGGAAAGACAUUGGAAUGGACUUCAUAUAAGGUUUGCCUAUAUCACACCAUAAGGACUCAAUAUUGGUAGUGAUGGAUCGGUUGACUAAGUAUGGUCAUUUUAUUGUCCUAAAGCACCCCGACACUACUCAACUAUAGCUGAAAUAUUCUUGAAUGAGGUUUAUAGAUUACAUGGGUUACCUCAGUCCAUAGUUACUAACAGGGAUGUCGUUUUUAUAAGUUUAUUCUAGAAACAACUAUUUAAAACCCUGAGAACUAAGCUCAAUAUGACUUCAGCCUAUCAUCCUCAAUCAGAUGGACAUACUGAGCGAAUUAACAAGUGUUUAGAGACUUAUCUUAGAGUUAUGGUGUUGGAUCAACCAAAGCAAUGGUCUAAGUGGUUACAUUUAGCCGAAUUCUGGUACAACACAAAUUAUCAUGUUUUCCUCAAGGCUACACCCUUUGAGGCCCUUUAUGGUAUUCCACCACUCCACAUACCAUUGGGCUCCUUAGGCCACUCUAGUAGGUCCUCAACAGAGGCUUGCGUGACACAAUGAUAAUAGCUAUUACAACAACUCCAAAAUAAUCUACAAGAAGCACAAUCGCGAAUGAAAUACUAUGCGGACAAGAACAGAUCUGAGAGAUCUCUAUAGAUUAGCGACAUGGUUUAUCUCAAAUUGCAACUAUAUAGACAAUCAACGGUAGAGAUGAGAUGAAAUCUUAAGAUAAGUGCCAAAUACUAUGGGCCUUACAAGGUAAUUGAAAGGACAGGAACAGUGGCUUACCGUUUGGAGCUUCCCUGGGGUCAUAGAUUCUCCUCGUAUUCCACAUAUCGCAAAUCAAGCGACAUAUAGGUCCAAACAUCAGCUCUCAGCAGCAGCCCCCGAGUUGUGAUGGAGAUGAAUGUCUACUGGUGGGGUCAUUAGUCAUCCUACAUUGUCGAAUAAUCAAGGUCAACAAUACCGUAGCAGUGCAGGUGCUCGUUCAUUGGGCUAAUCUGGAUGCAGACGAAGCCACAUAGGAGGAUUGGAGUUAUAGCCGCAGUCGCUUUCCUUAGUUCGUAACUCAAACACAAUCUUAAGGACAAGGUUGUUUUGAAGGAGAGAGAGUUGUAAUGUUAUGGGGUUUGCAUAAUUGAAGAAGGAACUAAAGAAUAAAGAGUAAAGUGAAUAAAAAGGAUAAAGUGAAGUUGGACACGAGUGGGGACGAGAAUCAGGCAAGUAGCGGUCCAACUGGCAGCUGACUUACAAUGAGUGGUCGAGAUUAGAGAUUAUCGACGGCAGAGAUUACUUCUCUAGAAACUCCAGCUCAGUUUUCUUAAUAAAUAUCUCAACUGGAAUGGGGAUUAGCAGUUAGACAAUUAUUGAUAAAUUUCCCUCUCAAACAUUCUCUCUCAAAUAUUUCUCUCUAUCCAUUUCU